AUUGAACGCUAGCGGGAUGCCUUACACAUGCAAGUCGAACGGAGUGGCGAACGGGUGAGUAAUGUAUCGGAACGUGCCCAGUAGCGGGGGAUAACUACACGAAAGCGUAGCUGAUACCUCAUCCUAUUGGCGCGGACUAUACCGGUUUUACUAGCUGGUGAGGUAACGGCUCACCAAGGCGACGAUCCGUAGCUGGUUUGAGAGGACGACCAGCCACACUGGAACUGAGACACGGCCCAGACUCCUACGGGAGGCAGCAGUGGGGAAUUUUGGACAAUGGGGGAAACCCUGAUCCAGCCAUCCCGCGUGUGUGAUGAAGGCCUUCGGGUUGUAAAGCACUUUUGGCAGGAAAGCGGUACCUGAUGAAUAAGCAACGGCUAACUACGUGCCAGCAGCCGCGGUAAUUC
rnacentral:rRNA from 1 species